rnacentral:rRNA from 1 species
CCUACGGGAGACAGCAGUGGGGAAUAUUGCACAAUGGGGGAAACCCUGAUGCAGCAACGCCGCGUGAGUGAAGAAGUAUUUCGGUAUGUAAAGCUCUAUCAGCAGGGAAGAAGAUGACGGUAACUGAGUAAGAAGCCCUGGCUAACUACGUGCCAGCAACCGCGGUCAUACGUAGGGGGCAAGCGUUAUCCGGAUUUACUGGGUGUAAAGGGAGCGUAGACGGUGAGACAAGUCUGAAGUGAAAGCCCGGGGCUCAACCCCGGGACGGCUUUGGAAACUGGCUGACUAGAGUGCAGGAGAGGCAAGCGGAAUUCCUAGUGUAGCGGUGAAAUGCGUAGAUAUUAGGAAGAACACCAGUGGCGAAGGCGGCUUGCUGGACAGUAACUGACGUUGAGGCGCGAAAGCGUGGGGAGCAAACAGGAUUAGAUACCCUAGUAGUC